AGUGAACGCUGGCGGUAGGCCUAACACAUGCAAGUCGAACGGCAGCACAGUAAGAGCUUGCUCUUACGGGUGGCGAGUGGCGGACGGGUGAGGAAUACAUCGGAAUCUACUUUUUCGUGGGGGAUAACGUAGGGAAACUUACGCUAAUACCGCAUACGACCUACGGGUGAAAGCAGGGGAUCUUCGGACCUUGCGCGAUUGAAUGAGCCGAUGUCGGAUUAGCUAGUUGGCGGGGUAAAGGCCCACCAAGGCGACGAUCCGUAGCUGGUCUGAGAGGAUGAUCAGCCACACUGGAACUGAGACACGGUCCAGACUCGUACGGGAGGCAGCAGUGGGGAAUAUUGGACAAUGGGCGCAAGCCUGAUCCAGCCAUACCGCGUGGGUGAAGAAGGCCUUCGGGUUGUAAAGCCGUUUUGUUGGGAAAGAAAAGCAGCAGGUUAAUACCCCGCUGUUCUGACGGUACCCAAAGAAUAAGCACCGGCUAACUUCGUG
rnacentral:rRNA from 1 species